rnacentral:lncRNA from 1 species
GUAUGAUGAGCCUGAGAAUGUUUCCUCAGCAUUUACCGAGAGGAAAUGUACCUUCUCCGAAUGCACCUUUAAAGCGGGUAUUAGCCUAUACAGGCUGUUUUAGUCGAAUGCAGACCAUCAAGGAAAUUCACGAAUAUCUAUCUCAAAGGCUGCGCAUUAAAGAGGAAGAUAUGCGCCUGUGGCUAUACAACAGUGAGAACUACCUUACUCUUCUGGAUGAUGAGGAUCAUAAAUUGGA